GUGCUCGCUUGACGGCACAUAUUAUACUAAAAAUUGGAACAAUACAGAAGAUUAGUACUGGCCCCUCGCAAGGAUGACACGUAAAUUCAUUGACGUUCCAUAUUUUUUU